AAGACCGUGAGGCGGAGCAAAACUCAAAAACUUGUCUCAGUUCGGAUUGUAGGCUGAAACUCGCCUACAUGAAGCUGGAGUUGCUAGUAAUCGCGAAUCAGCAUGUCGCGGUGAAUACGUUCCCGGGCCUUGUACACACCGCCCGUCACACCAUGAGAGUUGGCAAUACCCAACGUACGUGAUCUAACCCGCAAGGGAGGAAGCGUCCUAAGGUAGGGUCAGCGAUUGGGGUGAAGUCGUAACAAGGUAUC
rnacentral:rRNA from 1 species